UGGGGUUAAUUCAUUUGCACAAGUCGGGAACAAAAAUAAGAGCAAAAUUCAAGAAAGGUAUUGGAAAGAGUUACUUUUGAGUUUGCUAUAAAAAUUGCUCCAGCAAGACAUACAUCCUUGCAUUUCAAGGGCAAAACAAAUAAUCAACUCAAACCAUACUCUUCAUCGCAUCAACAACACAGGCCACAGAAUAAACGGCCACGCAUAUCCCAUCCCCUUCCCCCCUUACCAGAGACUACAGUUAGAAAUAACUGAAUAAAAGAUCCAAGCGCAUCAUCAAAUAUACUGACCCUAUUACUCAUCAUUUUGGCUUUCAUCUUUGACGAGCUUGAUCAUGUCAUCAAUUCGAAGAAUUGUUAUGGCUGCUUCAGUGGCAAACUGAAUUAUCUUCAC
rnacentral:misc_RNA from 1 species